AGCUAGUUGUUAAAAAAGAGCCAGGCACCUCCCCUACUCUCUCUCACCAUGCGGUCUCUACACUGGCUCCCCUUUGCCUGAGCUGUGAGUGGAAGGAGGCUGUGGUCCUCACCAGAGGCAGAUGCUGGCACCAAGCUUCUUGCACAUCCUGCAGAACUGUGAACCAAAUACACUUCUUUGCCUUUUAAAAGAAUAAAUUACCCUAUCUCAA